GGCACCAUCCUUCCCGGGAGAGUUCCUACUGCCGGGGAGGCGAGCAAGCUUGGUGGACGGGGAAUCUCUGACCACGGUUAAAAGAACCCGCAGUUCCAUCUAGACUCUACUGGACGGUGUUUCCAAAGUAAUUUGGAAGGCAUAAUUGAACAAGCAGAGAGAGAAUUAAGCAUCAUCAACACAGCAGUUCCCCAUCCCAUUGUUGCAUCGACCAACAUAGACUUCGACAGGAUGGCAGAGGGUAUGUCUGCAAACCCCCUUUAGUCUUCUACAUCGCCCGGUGCCUUCAAAGAAAACAGGAGGACUUGUGAAUUUUGUAUUUCCUUUUCUAAUUUCCUGCUUUUAAUGUCUUUGGCUUAGUAUUUUUAAAUCCUUUUCUACAUUUUGAUAUUGUUGCUAAUCAGAAAGGAACUGCUUAACAGGAAUGUACAUCUGAAUUAAUUUUUCUAGCGCUCCUAUGCAGAAGAGAUGUUAUGAAACUUGAGAAUACAUAUGCAUAUAUGUACACUGAUAAAGAAGAUUAAUAAUUAGAUUUCUAAGUAAGAAAAAAAAUGUAAGGAAGGAUUUAAAAAAAAUUAGUAAGCCAAUACCCUUGCAACUAUCAAAUAUAGACAAA